AGAGUUUGAUCCUGGCUCAGGAUGAACGCUAGCGACAGGCCUAACACAUGCAAGUCGAGGGGCAGCGGGGAGGUAGCAAUACCUUUGUCGGCGACCGGCGCACGGGUGAGUAACACGUAUGCAAUCCACCUGUAACAGGGGGAUAACCCGGAGAAAUCCGGACUAAUACCCCAUAAUAUGGGCGCUCCGCAUGGAGAGCCCAUUAAAGAGAGCAAUUUUGGUUACAGACGAGCAUGCGCUCCAUUAGCCAGUUGGCGGGGUAACGGCCCACCAAAGCGACGAUGGAUAGGGGUUCUGAGAGGAAGGUCCCCCACAUUGGAACUGAGACACGGUCCAAACUCCUACGGGAGGCAGCAGUGAGGAAUAUUGGUCAAUGGUCGGCAGACUGAACCAGCCAAGUCGCGUGAGGGAAGACGGCCCUACGGGUUGUAAACCUCUUUUGUCGGAGAGUAAAGUACGCUACGUGUAGUGUAUUGCAAGUAUCCGAAGAAAAAGCAUCGGCUAACUCCGUGCCAGCAGCCGCGGUAAUACGGAGGAUGCAAGCGUUAUCCGGAUUUAUUGGGUUUAAAGGGUGCGUAGGCGGCACGCCAAGUCAGCGGUGAAAUUUCCGGGCUCAACCCGGAGUGUGCCGUUGAAACUGGCGAGCUAGAGUACACAAGAGGCAGGCGGAAUGCGUGGUGUAGCGGUGAAAUGCAUAGAUAUCACGCAGAACCCCGAUUGCGAAGGCAGCCUGCUAGGGUGAAACAGACGCUGAGGCACGAAAGCGUGGGUAUCGAACAGGAUUAGAUACCCUGGUAGUCCACGCAGUAAACGAUGAAUACUAACUGUUUGCGAUACAAUGUAAGCGGUACAGCGAAAGCGUUAAGUAUUCCACCUGGGGAGUACGCCGGCAACGGUGAAACUCAAAGGAAUUGACGGGGGCCC
rnacentral:rRNA from 1 species